rnacentral:rRNA from 1 species
GGUUAAGUGACUAAGCGUACACGGUGGAUGCCUUGGCAGUUGGAGGCGAUGAAGGACGUAUUAACUUGCGAUAAGCUUAGUCAAGCUAGUAAAAAGCGCUUGAGACUAAGAUUUCCGAAUGGGGAAACCCACCUGCUUGCAGGUAUCGUUAACUGAAUACAUAGGUUAACGAGGCGAACGCGGAGAACUGAAACAUCUAAGUACCCGUAGGAAAAGAAAUCAACCGAGAUUCCGAAAGUAGCGGCGAGCGAAAUCGGAACAGCCCUUAAGCUUAUUAUGUGUUAAUGGAAGGCUGCUGGAAAGCGCCACGAUACAGGGUGAUAGUCCCGUACAUGAAAAGACAUUUUAAGUGAAAUCGAGUAGGUCGGAGCACGUGAAACUUUGACUGAAUAUAGGUGGACCAUCAUCUAAGGCUAAAUACUCCCAACUGACCGAUAGUGAACCAGUACCGUGAGGGAAAGGCGAAAAGAACCCCUGUGAGGGGAGUGAAAUAGAACCUGAAACCGUGUACGUACAAGCAGUAGGAGCCCACUUGUUGGGUGACUGCGUACCUUUUGUAUAAUGGGUCAGCGACUUAUAUUUUGUAGCGAGGUUAACCGAAUAGGGUAGCCGUAGGGAAACCGAGUCUUAACUGGGCGAAUAGUUGCAAGGUAUAGACCCGAAACCCGGUGAUCUAGCCAUGGGCAGGUUGAAGGUUGAGUAACAUCAACUGGAGGACCGAACCCACUAACGUUGAAAAGUUAGGGGAUGACCUGUGGCUAGGAGUGAAAGGCUAAUCAAACCGGGAGAUAGCUGGUUCUCCCCGAAAUCUAUUUAGGUAGAGCCUCGGACGAAUACUUACGGGGGUAGAGCACUGUUAAGGCUAGGGGGUCAUCCCGACUUACCAACCCUUUGCAAACUCCGAAUACCGUAAAGUAAUAUCCGGGAGACACACGGCGGGUGCUAACGUCCGUCGUGAAGAGGGAAACAACCCAGACCGCCAGCUAAGGUCCCAAAGUCAUAGUUAAGUGGGAAACGAUGUGGAAAGGCCCAGACAGCCAGGAGGUUGGCUUAGAAGCAGCCAUCCUUUAAAGAAAGCGUAAUAGCUCACUGGUCGAGUCGGUCUGCGCGGAAGAUGUAACGGGGCUAAACUAUGCACCGAAGCUGCGGAUUCAGAAUUUAUUCUGAGUGGUAGGGGAGCGUUCUGUAAGCCGUUGAAGGUG